UGAGGAAUAUUUGGCAAUGAGCGAAAGCUUGACCAAGCAAUACCGCGUGAAGGAUGAAGGCUUUUGGGUUGUAAACUUCUUUUAUCGAUGAAGAAUUUGUGACUUUAGUCGAGGAAUAAGCACCGGCUAAUUACGUGCCAGCAGCCGCGGUAAUACGUGAGGUGCAAGCGUUGUACGGAAUUAUUGGGCGUAAAGCGUCUGUAGAUGGUACUAUUAAGUUCUUUGUUAAAUGCUAAGGCUUAACCUUAGUUGGGCAUAGAAUACUGGUAUACUUGAGUAUGAUUGAGGUAAAAGGAAUUUCUAGUGUAGCGGUGAAAUGCGUAGAUAUUAGAAAGAACACCAAUGGCGAAAGCAUUUUACUAGGUCAAUACUGACAUUCAGAGACGAGAGCGAAGGGAGCAAAAC
rnacentral:rRNA from 1 species